UUAAAUCUGAUUAGUUAUUCAAAACACUGCUCCGCUCCGUUAUGCUCCGCCUUAGUAGAAUCCGGGCAUAAAUAAUAUGUGUUUGAACUCUAAAUGAUUAAAAGCAAUAUUAGGUGCCGUUACACCAUAUCUAUGACAUGCAUUACAAUCAAUUUGAUAUACCUACUUGAAAAUGAGUUCAACCGUCAAUAUAAAAGUGGAGAGAAAUAUCAACAGCCUCAAUUUCUAAACUGGACACAAUGAAACUAUUAUCCUGCUUCUUAUUGGUGACCACCAUAGGCCUGGCCUGUGGCUUUGCCUACUAUCCAGCGCCACCGCCACCGCCACCGCCGCCGAGUCCAGCGCCUUUGUGCAGUUGUACUCCGGCACAUCUAUUACCAUAUGAGCCGUUGUGUGGAAGCAACUACAAGACCUACCCCAACAAAUGCGAGUUGGGCUGCGACCAUAGCCAAGGUGUUGGCGGUAUAUUUGUACUGUACAAAGGACCCUGUGUGUCCCAUUAUCCUCCCCCUCCCCCACCUUUCCCGGGGUCAAUACCAAUUGGGAGCCCACAAACCGCGGGAAGCCCUGCCUAUUAGGCAGUUAAAUUGAUUAAAUUAUAAAAAGAACAUGAAAUGUUCGUGAUCUAUAUUUAUUUUUAUGUAUUAAAAAUAUAUUGUAUUUAUGUUCAUUUUUUGUUUUAAAGUACCUAUGCAUAGCUUAGUUUUAUAUUUUAUGGCGCUGUGCAAUUUUUUUUACAUAUUUAUGGGGUUUAAAAUAAUUGUUGAAUUAAAGUAUAUGUAUUUAUAGUU